CGCGUAGGCGGUCUUGUCGGUCAGAUGUGAAAGCCCAGGGCUCAACCCUGGACGUGCAUUUGAAACAGCAAGACUUGUGUACGGGAGAGGAAAGCGGAAUUCCUGGUGUAGAGGUGAAAUUCGUAGAUAUCAGGAGGAACACCGAUGGCGAAGGCAGCUUUCUGGACCGAUACUGACGCUGAGGCGCGAAGGCGUGGGUAGCGAACAGGAUUAGAUACCCUGGUAGUCC
rnacentral:rRNA from 1 species